rnacentral:rRNA from 1 species
UGGGGAAUAUUGCACAAUGGGCGCAAGCCUGAUGCAGCCAUGCCGCGUGUGUGAAGAAGGCCUUCGGGUUGUAAAGCACUUUCAGCGGGGAGGAAGGCGUUAAGGUUAAUAACCUUGGCGAUUGACGUUACCCGCAGAAGAAGCACCGGCUAACUCCGUGCCAGCAGCCGCGGUAAUACGGAGGGUGCAAGCGUUAAUCGGAAUUACUGGGCGUAAAGCGCACGCAGGCGGUCUGUCAAGUCGGAUGUGAAAUCCCCGGGCUCAACCUGGGAACUGCAUUCGAAACUGGCAGGCUAGAGGCUUGUAGAGGGGGGUAGAAUUCCAGGUGUAGCGGUGAAAUGCGUAGAGAUCUGGAGGAAUACCGGUGGCGAAGGCGGCCCCCUGGACAAAGACUGACGCUCAGGUGCGAAAGCGUGGGGAGCAAACAGG